rnacentral:rRNA from 1 species
GGGCCCGCACAAGCGGUGGAGCAUGUGGUUUAAUUCGAUGAUACGCGAGGAACCUUACCAGGGCUUAAAUGUAGUGGGACAGGUCUAGAGAUAGACCCUUCUUCGGACUCAUUACAAGGUGCUGCAUGGUUGUCGUCAGCUCGUGCCGUGAGGUGUCAGGUUAAGUCCUAUAACGAGCGCAACCCCUAUCGUUAGUUGCCAGCGGGUAAUGCCGGGAACUCUAGCGAAACUGCCGGUGCAAACCGUGAGGAAGGUGGGGAUGACGUCAAAUCAUCACGGCCCUUACGUCCUGGCUACACACGUGCUACAAUGGCCGGUACAGAGAGCAGCCACUUCGCAAGAAGGAGCG